UGUUUGAUUGAUUGAUAUCAAAAUUUUAUUCUCUAUGGAGAAAUUAUCAGAUUCAGUAUUUAACACCGAAUUCUCUAUGUUACAGAAUCUAUACCUCAUUUGGUUUUUGAGGUUUCUGGAGGGACUAUUUUUUUGAUGUAUUUGCGUAGGAAUACAAUCAAGUACGAUGAUUUUCCGGAAGUAGAGGUUUCAGAGGAGUAUUUUGGAGUAGGUGGUGCAGGUAAAUCCAUUGUUUACAAUUAAGCUCGAGUUACAGGGAAGGAGAACUACAAAUAAAAUUUUAUCGCACCACAACAAGCUCAUCUCUUUAGCAGAGCGCUCAAAAUCUGUUCGAUAAAAUGCUCCAAAGAGGAAAAAAAUGGUUAGAGGUGUCGUUUUGUGCCCGCAAUGCCAAGGUAGUUUCCUUGAAAAGGCUUAGUGUAAGGUCUGGAACACAUGCAUCGCGCAGUUGAAGUUAUGUCAGAUGCCCAAAGCCAACAGUUGAUGCUAUAGGAGGACUUGCGCUUGGAGGUGGUUUAUAAUUGGAAAUGGUUCUUAUGAAAAGGUAUAUCAUGCAUAUUGGAAUGACUAGAUAACAUUGGUUGGCAGUUGCUUUAUGGCCAUCUUGUUCUCAGUAAAGGACCAUCAUUCAGUUUGGAUGAUGAUCUAGCUAAAGAAGCGAGUAAAGCAGAUCGUAACAAAAGAAAUAUGAGAGAGUUUGGAAUAUAAUACUUUUGAGUUUCCAUUCAGCUCUGAGAAGAUGGUAACUACAUUGCGCGCUGGGGCAGAGUAUGCUGGAGUUUCUGUACAGAACUGCAUGCUUAUUGUUGGAGGCCAAUCUGGUGUAUCCGAAUGUUAAUUCAUAGUCAUGCCACGUAUCGUUCUGCGAAGCAGGAAAAUUUGAGCUUCAUAUCAUGGAGGGAGAGUUUGCUGAACCUCAGAUUGUAGUUAUGCUUGGUGAAAACGGGACAGGGAAGACGACAUUUGUUUGCUUGCUGGUUUCAGAUAACUUCAUAAAAGCUAAUUGCUUAAAUGUGAUAAUGGU